AUGAGCGGGCAAUUAAACUAUUCAACUUUUGAAUUCCCACUUCUCAUCUCCAUAUACUCCUCUUUUCACAUACCCAUGGUUUGCAUCACCUAAGAUCUCGGGAGAUAAAUAACCAGCAGCCGUCAUCUCUUCCAAACCCUAUUAUGAGAAUCGAGGUCUUACCACCACUUGUUAAAGACGGAAAGACACAGAGAUUUCUUGUUGUUCAACCGGUGGAUCUCCGACGACGUUGAGAUUUUUUGAAUUGGGAAUUUACAGGAAGUGGAAAGAUGAAGUGUAGUAACAGUACUUCAAGGUGUAAAUGUGUAAGGUAAAUCUCUCAUGAUCGGAAACAUAAUUGAUCAAGUUUGGCCAUGGGUCAACGUGGAGGCACAAGGAAUCCUAAUGUAUUAUAAAAGUGUCUUCCAUUGUAACUAGAGACUAGACAUCAUGACGGGUAGUGGUGAAGUUUGAUAAAUUUAAAAGAAAGUUUUAUAUAUAAACUUCUAAAUGUGAAAUCACACGUU
rnacentral:lncRNA from 1 species